rnacentral:rRNA from 1 species
UACGGGGGGGGCAAGCGUUGUUCGGAAUUACUGGGCGUAAAGGGCUUGUAGGUGGCCAACUAAGUCAGACGUGAAAUCCCUCGGCUUAACCGGGGAACUGCGUCUGAUUCUGGAUGGCUGGAGUGUGGGAGAGGGAUGCGGAAUUCCAGGUGUAGCGGUGAAAUGCGUAGAUAUCUGGAGGAACACCGGUGGCGAAGGCGGCAUCCUGGACCAUUACUGACACUGAAAAGCGAAAGCCAGGGGAGCAAACGGG